GAAUUGCAGUCACACAAAAGCUUUGGCUUUGCAAACUAUGAACAACCCCAAAAGCUUUCUCAACUGAAACCCUCAAAAACACAAAAGGAUCUAUAAAACCCUCUCUUCUUUACACAGUGAGAAACAAGAAUACCCAAAAGGCCAAAACUGCUUCUUGGCGAGCAAGAGAGGGAAAAUAAAAACAAAAGAAGAAAAGACAGGACAAGCCUGAGUGUCAGUUUAAGUAAGCUAGAAUGUGCCAGGUGAGGUUUGUUGGUAAGUUACAAGCGCUGCGUCUGCUUUGUUGGGCUUUCUAUAAUGUAAGCAUUGGAUAGGCACAAACAACACACUCAAAGCCAUGUCAGCUUUGAAAAGUGGCGGGAAUGCUGUUGGGUUGUGACACGUGGCUAACUGUGCUUGGCUUUCUGUUGCAACUCGCAACUCAGCACUCAGCAGCAUUUACUUGUACCCUCUGUCUUUAGUUGUAAAAUCCAGCUUCACUUCUAGUGCGGUGAUUAUGCAAGUAAGAUGCCUUCUUAGCACUCUUUUCUUUUUUCUACAUGUUUUCUAGCUUCUACAUAUUUUCAAAGGAGAAAGGAAAAUUGAUAAAAAAAGAAAGAAAGAAACUUUUAAUCAUCAAAAUCUGUGUUUUUCUAAUGAAAACAAUGUUUGUCUCACUACACAUCAUUAAUAUGUUAAUCUAAUUAUAAUAUUUUAUUUAUGAAUUACUUGAUUUAUUCAUAAAUUGAUAAUCCCAUCCCUAAAUAUGUUUUUAGGCACUAACUAAAAACAAUUUUAUAUAAUAAAAUAUACCAAAAAUUAGAUUAUUACUACUCAAGAUGCCAAAUAGUUGGAAUUCAAAAAGGAAAACAUAAAAAUAAAUAGUAAUUUGCAUUAAAAUAAAUAAAUAAUAUAACUUAGAAACCCAUAGAUAAUAAACAACAAUUUUAUAUGCAUUUAUUUAGGAAUUGGGGUGCAACACCAUAUCAUUUUUACUUUAAAGGGCACGUUUCCCCUGGCUUAAGUCUUAACUUGUAAGCUGUACAACUCCGCAGUCCACACUCACGGGAUGGAGGACUACUGGAGAAGUGCAUGACAGUUGACACACAACACAAAACCAACCCACAGCCAGCCACGUGUCAUAUCCCAUUAGAUUUCCCGCCCCCUUUUGAAGCCUAACAACUCGGAAGAAAUCACAGAACUCUAUCAAGGGUUGUGAUUCCUUGAAAAGAUUAUUUGUGACGGCAUUCCAGCCAGAGUUUAUGGGUGAAUUUCAAUGCUGUCCUGCAAAUGUGCUAUCCAAUUCCUAAAUGCUAUCUAUGGUUGUUGGGCAUGUAGGUAGUUUUCUAAGCUUUGAUGCAUAUGGGUUUCUAUUUUUCUUGUUUUAAAGUUUUUGUUAUUUGCACUUAUGGAUUCCUCCUGACAUUUUGAUUUUUAUGUGCAUUUAUUUGUUUGGGUCUUUGUUUCUACAGAUUUCACCUUUUUCCAUUCGUUCUGGUUUGUUUGGUAGUUUACAAACUAUGAAGAACCAAGGUAUCAGCUUUUUCCUGUUUCACUUGUGAGCUUUCUUAAAUGCAUUAAUUAUAUCAUCUGAUGUAUGAGUUUUCUUCUAUACUGGAAUAUUAGGUCAUCUUCUGCAGCCAUGUUGCUUUCAAGCACUAAAAACUUCUUGCACCUAUGAUCUUUUCUUCACUGUGAUAGGGUUGAGAGAUGAUAUAGAGGUUGUAGUUCAACCUUUUCAUUCUUAAUUUCAGGUCAUGCAAAAGCUCUGGCUUAAGGAGAAAUUCUUGCAACACCGACUUAAAUAAGUACUUAUGGUUGUAGAUGAGAUCAAGAGUUUGAACAUGUUUUGUGCUACUAUGAUUUGGGGCUAUUCUUCUAACUCUUCCCUUAUUUAGCACUCUUGUUUUUCUUCUGGGUUCCUUUCUGGAUAUAUCUUGACUAAACUUGAAUUCCACAAGUAUUUAGGUUAGAUAUUCUGCUUCUCAAGAUGGCUGAUAAGGCAUUAACAGGAAAGCCAAUAGAAAGAUUUAUGGACUUGUGUUGUAGCGAAACUACUGGCAGAUGGCACCAAAUGACAUAGCCAAGGAUACUGACCUGAUUAUAGGGAGUCUGACAAAAGAAAGGAUGAGGAAGGUUGUUAGGGGGAGAUCUAGGGAAGGUAAAUAUAGAGGAACAGAAAGCUUGUCAGAAAAUUGUACUGAUAAUUUUAAGGGAAAAGAAAGUACUGAACAGAUGACUAUGAAAGGUAACUCCAAGACAGAGUGCUCUAAGCAGGAGGAGAGUCAGACUGGUGAAGGGGUUCCCAUUGGCAAUGGACAGACAGAGGUAGACAACACUGUCCAGAAAGAGGACAACAAGAACAUAGACACUCCAAUGAUGCAAAAGAGGGGUGCAGAUGGAGAAAUAGUUUGUGCGUAUUUCUCAUCUUCAUAGAAAAGUUAGUCUAGGCUUCAUCCUAGGAAAGAGGUUCCUGCUUUCCGCAUGGUUAAGCUGGAGGAGAAUGACAAUGAAUUUGUAGUUGGCAAAAGAGGCAAGGUCUACUGGUCAGGUUCACGCAGAUGGUUCACAGGACGCAUUGUUGCUUUUGAUAACAAGAAUUGGCUGCAUAGGAUUCUGUAUGAAGAUGGUGACAAAGAGGUGUUGGACUUAAGGAAAGAAUGGUUUGAACUCAAGGUAAUGCCAACUGACAGUUUCAAGUUGAAAAGGGAGCUGUGUUCUGAAAGAAAAGUUGGUAGUUUAGAUUCUGCCAACAGUAGGAAUAUGUGAUGAAAGAGAACUCAAGAAAUGUUAAUGGUGCAGCAGUGACAAAUGCUAAUUUCUUUUCAGAAAAUGCUAAGAGAGCUACUGAAGAAUUUGAAGCAGAAGUUACCGUAGUGAAGUCUCAUUCUGACUUCUGGAGCAUGGGAUCAGACAACUGUGACAUUAAAGAAAGAGGGAAAGCUGUGAAAGAUGACUUCCUGAAGAUUAUCAUUGCUGAAUUAGCAAAAAGGCUGAAGAGUUAAAGGAAAAAACUUAUGCAAAAGGCUCUAAGAAUGAGGACCUCUAAGUCUUUGAGCAGGAACGAUAGCAAUUGUGGGGUGAAGCAGCCUGCAGAUAUGUAGGCUCACAUGCAUCAUGAUGAAGUGAAGACAACCAAACUGGAUUUUGAUAGCAACAACGAAGAUAACCAGGAAACUAAAUUACCAGAGGAAGAGUAGAAAGAAUGAAGCUCUUGCUAAGGAAGCAACUGAAAUAGAAGGAGUGUCAAAUGCAGCUCAAACUACCCAGUUCAAUUUCUUGGCAAAGAACAGAACUGCUCCAGAAGCAUGUAAGAUUAGUGGAGAUGCGGCUACUGAGGUAGAAAAAACUCAUGAAACAGUAACAGAUGAAGAAGAUUAUAUUACUUCUCUCUUUCUCAAACCAUCACAAUGUGAAAGAUGAAAAGAGAAGCUGGCUGCACAUGUAGACUUUGCUGUUUAACUUGAAAAAGAUGAAGAGGAGCUAUUGAGUGGAAGAAGCAAUAUGGUAACUAAUGAAUCUGUUAUGUGGAAGAACCUGGUGGGAAGCCAUAAGGAUGCACUAAGAAGGUGAAAUUGUAGAAAGGAGCUGUUUCUUCAGAAGAAGAAAUGAAGAUGAGAGAUCAUGCCAAUGUCUUGAUGGGAACAAGAGUCUGAUUUGUCAAACCCAAAUGAAGAAAGGUAGGUAAGGCAAAAGCAGCAACAAGAAGCAAAGGCAAACUCGUCAAAACGGAAUGAACAGUUAAGAAAAGGUGAGUAUUUGUUCCAUUUCGUCAAGGAUGUAUGACUGCUAAUGAAUUAAAAUAAAACGAAGUAUAUUUCUUGCUUGCUUUUUUGAAAUGAGAGCUUAGUUUGGUUCAGUCUUUUAUUAUAGUUAAUAUCACACACAACUUCAUCAACUGAUGCUAAGAAUUCUCUUUGUCUCUCUCUCUUCCUUCCUCGGAGAUAACCAACCUCAGAACAAAAUGCAUUUACAGUUACUUUGAAUCUCCUAGGACCUUUUCUACGUUCCAAAUGUAUUAAUUUAGCUUCUUUUCUAGGUAGCUUUCUUGCCAACUUCUUGACUUGGAACCAUUUUCUGGCACCAAAUUUCAACAUAAAAAUUGUUAAUCAUUCCAUAAAAAGGACUUAUGCAAAGGCUAAAAGCAAGAAUAAAUCCUUACAACUGUUGAUAGAUUAUACCUAAAGCCAGAUUAAGUGAUUCCUUAGGGUUGAGUUGAGAUUAUACUUGCUAAAUUAGAGAUGCUUUUAGAAUAUUUUGCGAACCCUAACUUGACUGCUACUGUAUAGGCUGCAAUUUCUCCGCUGGUGCUAUGCAGUUAUACCAUGUUAUUUUGUUUUCUACCACGGAGAGCAUGUAGCUAAAAAUAUAUUAAAUUAGGGGCUUUCUACAAUAUGUCACAGGUUUGACUUAAAUGUACAUAAAUCAUCCUGAUAAAAGAAAUCAUUAGAGCUUUUUACAAAAUUAGAUUGAAGGCAACAUGAAAAGAUGAAAAGUCGAAUUCAUGCAUAUGAGAUAUCAAUUCAGUUAAAACAAUUAAGCUUUAAAUAAACUUGAAAAUCAUUAUAAAU